CGGAAUUACUGGGCGUAAAGCGUGCGUAGGCGGCUUUGUAAGUCAGAUGUGAAAUCCCCGGGCUUAACCUGGGAACUGCAUUUGUGACUGCAUGGCUGGAGUGCGGGAGAGGGGGAUGGAAUUCCGCGUGUAGCAGUGAAAUGCGUAGAUAUGCGGAGGAACACCGAUGGCGAAGGCGAUCCCCUGGGCCUGCACUGACGCUCAUGCACGAAAGCGUGGGGAGCAAACAGG
rnacentral:rRNA from 1 species